UACGUAGGGUGCGAGCGUUGUCCGGAAUUAUUGGGCGUAAAGAGCUCGUAGGCGGUGUGUCACGUCGUUCGUGAAAACCUGCAGCUUAACUGUGGGCGUGCGGUCGAUACGGGCAUCACUGGAGUUCGGCAGGGGAGACUGGAAUUCCUGGUGUAGCGGUGAAAUGCGCAGAUAUCAGGAGGAACACCGGUGGCGAAGGCGGGUCUCUGGGCCGAUACUGACGCUGAGGAGCGCAAGCGUGGGGAGCAAACAGG
rnacentral:rRNA from 1 species